AGCAGAUCCAGAGUUUCAGUUUUACAAGAUGAAGGAGAAGGUGUUAUGAGAUGAUAUAGAGAGUUCUAGAGAUGGAUGGUGGCUAUGGUAGCACAACAUUAUGAAUGUAUUUAAUACCACUGAACUGUAAGGACACAGCAAAAAGGCAGCUGUCCGCAGGCGGGAGGGAAGUGGGCUCUUGCCAAGAACUGUAACUGCGGGCACCCUUGAUCUUGGCUUCCAGGCUCCGGACCUGGGAGAGAUAAAUGCCUGCUGUUGGAGCUGCCCAGAUUGAGAUACAGUUGGAUCUUCCUCCACCUACGUCAUAGAGCUAUUGAGAAGGCAUGUCAAGCAGCUGUAUUUCAGGUUCAGUGAACACCCUGCAGUGACACUGAACCAGAAGACCAUCCCUACUUGGCAAGUGGUCCCAGCCAUGGGGAGACAAAGCAAAGAUGAUGAGCCCUGGAAGGAGCACAGUACCACUGCUACACUCCCCCAAAGAUUAGCAUGAUGCAACAUGUAAUGAUAUGACAUGACACAACAACAUUGCAGUAAAAG